AAAAUUGUGGCCUACUGGUUAGGGUUUCAGGCUUGAAACCAAAAGGUUGCCGGUUUGAUCCCCGACCAGUAGGA
rnacentral:tRNA from 1 species